GUGAACCUAGCCGCUGGGCUGUGCGGACAGGUUCGCGUGGGGCUCCUGGGCCUCCCGCAGCCGCAGUUCAAUAUUUGCUCUGCUCUUUUUUGUUGUUUGUUUGUUUGAGACGGAGUCUCACACUGUCGCCCUGGCUGGAGUGCGGUGGCGCGAUCUCGGCUCACUGCAACCUCCGCCUCCCGGGUUCAAGCGAUUCUCCUGCCUCAGCCUCCCAAGUAGCUAGGAUUGCAGGCGCCCGCCAGAACGCCCAGCUAAUUUUUGUAUUUUUAGUAGAGAUGGAGUUUCACUAUGUUGGCCAGGCUGGUCUCAAACUCCUGACCUCGUGAUCCGCCCGCCGCGGCCUCCCAAAGUGCUGGGAUUACAGGUGUGAGCCACCGCGCCGACCUGCUCUGGUCUUUAUUAUUCUUAUUUUUCUUUACCUUGCUCAGUUCCCUUGUUUUCCCCUAUCGUCGUCUCCUUCCUUCCUUCCUAAGGCUGGCUACAUCUCCCUGUCUCCAACCUGGCUUAGCCACCUUAAUUAGCACCAAUUAUUUUGUUCUUACUUCAGAUGGGUCUUUUUUUCCCUAGUUUUUGUUAUUCCUUAAGUCUUGACUUAACUGUCAGGUCGAUCUCUGAGAGCAGAUCAUGAUUUAUUUAUUGAAGGAGGAGUCCUCUCCUUACUCAGGGUCAGUGAAGCCGCCAGCUACAGGAGUUGGCAUUUAUUAUUUACCAUGCUCGAAGCUCUGCUAAGCGGCUUUGUGCAUUAUAGUCAAUUCUUUCUUUCCUUCCAUUUUUUUUUUUUUUUUUUGAGACGGAGUUUAGCUCUUGUUGUUCAGGCUGGAGUGCAAUGAAUGGCACCAUCUCGGCUCACCACAACCUCCGUCUCCUGGGUUCAAGCAAUUCUCCUGCCUCAGCCUCCCGAGUAACUGGGAUUACAGGCGUGCACCACCAUGCCCGGCUAAUUUUUGUAUUUUUAGUAGAGACGCGGUUUCUCCAUUUUGGUCAGGCUGGUCUCAAACUCCUGACCUCAGGUGAUCCGCCCGCCUCGGCCUCCCAAAGUGCUGGGAUUACAGGCGUGAGCCACUGUGCCUGGCCCCAAUUAUAGUCAAUUCUUUUUUUU
rnacentral:lncRNA from 10 species